rnacentral:rRNA from 1 species
AUACGUAGGGGGCGAGCGUUGUCCGGAUUUACUGGGUAUAAAGGGCUCGCAGGCGGGCUUGUAAGUCAGAGGUGAAAUCCUACAGCUUAACUGUAGAACUGCCUUUGAAACUGCAAGUCUUGAGAUCGGAAGAGAGAGAUGGAAUUCCAGGUGUAGUGGUGAAAUACGUAGAUAUCUGGAAGAACACCAAUGGCGAAGGCAGUCUCUUGGUCCGCAUCUGACGCUGAGGAGCGAAGGCGUGGGUAGCGAACAGGAUUAGAAACCCGAGUAGUCC